rnacentral:rRNA from 1 species
CCCGCCGGACCUGACUGCUAUCGGAUUGAUACUAAGCCAUGCGAGUCUUUGUAGUAAUACAAGGCAUACGGCUCAGUAACACGUAGUCAACCUACCCUAUGGACGAGAAUAAUCUCGGGAAACUGAGCAUAAUUCUUGAUAGAUCAUAAUGCCUGGAAUGGUUUAUGGUUAAAAUGAUUCGUCGCCAUAGGAUGGGACUGCGGCCUAUCAGCUUGUUGGUGAGGUAAUGGCCCACCAAGGCGAUUACAGGUACGGGCUCUGAGAGGAGAAGCCCGGAGAUGGGUACUGAGACACGGACCCAGGCCCUAUGGGGCGCAGCAGGCGAGAAAACUUUGCAAUGUGCGAAAGCACGACAAGGUUAAUCCGAGUGAUUUCUGCUAAAGAAAUCUUUUGCCAGUCAUAAAACCACUGGUGAAUAAGGGGUGGGCAAGUUCUGGUGUCAGCCGCCGCGGUAAAACCAGCACCUCAAGUGGUCAGGAUGAUUAUUGGGCCUAAAGCAUCCGUAGCCGGCUUCGUUAGUUUUCGGUUAAAUCCAUGUGCUCAACGCAUGGGCUGCCGAAAAUACUGCAUAGCUAGGGAGUGGGAGAGGUAGACGGUACUCAGUAGGUAGGGGUAAAAUCCUUUGAUCUAUUGAUGACCACCUGUGGCGAAGGCGGUCUACCAGAACACGUUCGACGGUGAGGGAUGAAAGCUGGGGGAGCAAACCGGAUUAGAUACCCGGGUAGUCCCAGCUGUAAACGAUGCAGACUAGAUGAUGCGUUGGCAUAUAGCCAGUGCAGUGUCGCAGGGAAGCCGUUAAGUCUGCCGCCUGGGAAGUACGUACGCAAGUAUGAAACUUAAAGGAAUUGGCGGGGGAGCACCACAAGGGGUGAAGCCUGCGGUUCAAU